UCACUUUUGGAUGGUCCCGCGGCGUACUAGCUAGAUGGUGGGGUAACGGCUCACCAUGGCAAUGAUACGUAGCCGACCUGAGAGGGUAAUCGGCCACAUUGGGACUGAGACACGGCCCAAACUCCUACGGGAGGCAGCAGUAGGGAAUCUUCCACAAUGGACGAAAGUCUGAUGGAGCAACGCCGCGUGAGUGAAGAAGGGUUUCGGCUCGUAAAACUCUGUUGUUAAAGAAGAACAUAUCUGAGAGUAACUGUUCAGGUAUUGACGGUAUUUAACCAGAAAGCCACGGCUAACUACGUGCCAGCAGCCGCGGUAAUACGUAGGUGGCAAGCGUUGUCCGGAUUUAUUGGGCGUAAAGCGAGCGCAGGCGGUUUUUUAAGUCUGAUGUGAAAGCCUUCGGCUCAACCGAAGAAGUGCAUCGGAAACUGGGAAACUUGAGUGCAGAAGAGGACAGUGGAACUCCAUGUGUAGCGCUGAAAUGCCUAGAUAU
rnacentral:rRNA from 1 species